UUCCCAGGAAUCCACAAGGAUGACCCCAGCUUAGACUACUAGCAACAGUGAAGAGGGUCCCUGAACUGACCUACCCUGCUAAUCAUAUUGGUGAAUACUCUGUCACCAUAGAGCCUUCAUGCAGUAACUGAUGGACGCAGAUGCAGAAAUCCACAGCAAAGCACCAGGCCAAGCUCCAGGAGUCCAGUCAAGUAGAGGGAGGAGGGACUGUAUAAGCAAGGGGAGUCAAGAUCAUGAUGGGGAAACCUACAGAGGCAACUGAACCAAGCUAGUAGGAACUUUGUUUGGUUAGAGUUACCCCAGCCCUCAAUUUGAUUAUUUCCUGGCGUGAACUCCUCCUGGCAAUAUGAACUCCAAUUGACAGCUACCUGGUUUUCUGCCAGUAGAUGUGAAGGAGAACAGACAUUUAUGACGACUCAACUUCAUUAUUUCCCAUGGAGAUGGAUUCCAGAGUGGCAGGUUGUGUUGAAUCUGGUUCAGCUGCACUGACUUACUGACUUAUGCAAUGUAUCAAAUUCUUCCCAAAUGAUGAGAAAGAACAAACUAAAUGAGACAAGGUACAAUGCAGCAAAGAGACACUUGCGUAACAGACAAGGAUUCUUGGUACUUGAAGAUAAAGCAGUUUUGAAAGUCCACUGAAAAAUGUCUCAAAUGUACAUCAUUCUAGUUUAGUGAUCUGUCUUCCUAACCUGCCACUGCUUAUUAAUAGCAACCAUAAUUUAAAAUCUUCCAGCUCUACAUCCUGUAUCUUAUCCAGCAUCUCCUCCCAUUCUUACUGAGAACAUGACACGAAGGAGACCAUUAUAUGACUUAAUAUAGACAAUUGGUACAGGAUUCUGAGUGACCUUGAUCCUGCUCCAGCUUAAAGCU